ACGAUCCCCGCGGAAGAGACCGGGCGAAAGCCCGGCGCCGAAGGCGCAACCGCCCCGGAAACGCUCAGGCAAAAGGACCGCGCGGGAGCU
rnacentral:ncRNA from 2 species